AGAGAAAUCAUUGUUUACGAAAGCUAUUACGCCCCAAUUCCAUCUCUAUCAAGAAAUAUUUAAUCACGGCUACAUAUUUAAAGAAUACUGCUAACUUGAGUAAACAGCUCGUAUCAGUAGUGCCAUCAUGACUAACAGUCUUUUCACGUUUUUUAUUCCUUUCGUGGUGUUUUUCGGAGGAUCAGCUGCUCUUCCGCAAGAUAUGCACGCUAAAUUCGAUUUUGAAUCUCAAAACCCGCUGUUACAAACAUGUUUGAAAAACUCAGGAUCAUCGACUGCCUAUAAACGAAUCACGAUGGCCCUCGAUGAGGCUGGUGCUUGCUUUAGUGAAAAUAUGGCUUCGAUAAAUCACUCAACUGAUGCAAUUGCUCUUCAACAAAGUGGUGGAUGUCCUCUGCGGGAUCAGGAUCGCGCCUGUCUGAAUCCAAUUAUUAAUCCUGUUCUUUCCUGUUUGACGGGAUCACGUAAACAAAAUCGUAUAUUUUUGGAGAAGCUUGUUGACGAAAUCAUUAAAAUUCAAUGUACCAUCAGCCAGAUCAAAGAUUCCAGUGAAACGGAAGACAUGCCAUCAAGUUAUAGAAAAAUGUGCGUUCAAAACAAAGUAUCAUCGAUCAUAGACUGUGAUGCGCCCUUCUUCGGGAAAGGAAUUAUUCUAUCUGAUUACGAUGCUCGUGAGUGCGCACAACUGUCCAGGAGUAAAACAUGCAUUAGGGAUAUCUUGUUUACAUGUCACGCCGGUAACAGCCUUCUUGCUAUGGUCGAUAUGCUUUAUAAUGUUGCUUACGAUGUAAACAACUGUAAUGAGGAUAUUGGCUCCAAAAGCAUCGAAAAUGAGAUUUGAUUGCACAACCUCUGAGAGUCGGAAAAUUCAACACCUUCUAGCAAAAACAUGAAAUGAAUAAAAAUUAUGCCAAUUAAGUAGAUUGAAAUUUUUUCACCACGCACAGAAUCCGAACUCGCAAAUGCAGCUGGCACGAGGUGGUUAGCUUUCGCCAUUUAGGUAGACGGUAUUCGAAAAGCUCCAAGCACACGCCAGAAACUUACCAUUGCAAUUGCUUCCGCAUCAACCAUUACAUCACUUAAUAUAAUUAACCUACAAACCACAUUUCCUGGUAGCUGCUCCAGAUUCUUAAUUUAAAAAAAAAAUAGCUUCCCAUGUUGUCCUGGGGUGGAUGACCAUCACAUGGAAGCUGUGUGGCAGUUCGCUACAACCAUCUGCUGAUCUCUGAAGGUUGCACGGGUGAUGAUGAUGAUGAUGAUGAUGAUGAUGAUGAUGACAGAUAUACACCCUAUUUACUGGCUUGGAAGGCGCAUCCUUUCAUCUAUAACAAACAAACAACCACGCGGGUGUACUAUGGGGAAUCUCCAUACAAGGAGGUGGCCAAAAAUCUUUUCUUGCUUAUUCAUUAUUGGACAAGAUUUGUACUAGCAGGUGUUUACAUUUAUCAUUAAACUUUGAACAUGAUCAUGAGCAUGAGUAUGAUUGACCGCCCGCGGUUGGUACUCCGUGAUUCCACAGAGAACCAACAGAUGGGACUAGGUAUCAACCCCAUUAUGUCAAUCAUUAAACAUCAUUUUGAGAUCCUAAUGUCUUCUAGGUUUUAAGGAGUUAAGAUCUGGAUGUUCUAAAGACUCAAUAAUGUGGAUUGAUACGCAUGUUACCGACAUAUUCAACACGGGAGUGGGACAUUUCAACGAAUGACGUUUUGCUGAAGGACGUUUCACCGAAGGUCAUUUCACCAAAUGAGUAAUUUCGCCAAAGAGCA